GGCGAGAUGGCCGAGCGGUUAAGGCGCCAGACUAAGGAAAUCCCAUUUCUCCUCAUGAAUUGAAAGUCGGGACCAAGGCAGUUACUGUCUAAGCAAGCAAUCUGGUCCGAAAGGGCGUGGGUUCGAGUCCCACUCUGCGUCA